rnacentral:rRNA from 1 species
GACCUCAGAUCAGGCAAGGCUACCCGCUGAAUUUA